rnacentral:rRNA from 1 species
ACGGGUGCGUAACGCGUAUGCAACCUACCUUAAUCAGGGGGAUAGCCCGGAGAAAUCCGGAUUAAUACCGCAUAAAAUCACAGGAUUGCAUAAUCCAAUGAUCAAACAUUUAUGGGAUUGAGAUGGGCAUGCGUGUCAUUAGCUAGUUGGCGGGGUAACGGCCCACCAAGGCGACGAUGACUAGGGGAUCUGAGAGGAUGGCCCCCCACACUGGUACUGAGACACGGACCAGACUCCUACGGGAGGCAGCAGUAAGGAAUAUUGGUCAAUGGAGGCAACUCUGAACCAGCCAUGCCGCGUGCAGGAAGACUGCCCUAUGGGUUGUAAACUGCUUUUAUCCGGGAAUAAACCUUUCUACGUGUAGAAAGCUGAAUGUACCGGAAGAAUAAGGAUCGGCUAACUCCGUGCCAGCAGCCGCGGUAAUACGGAGGAUCCAAGCGUUAUCCGGAUUUAUUGGGUUUAAAGGGUGCGUAGGCGGCCUGUUAAGUCAGGGGUGAAAGACGGUAGCUCAACUAUCGCAGUGCCCUUGAUACUGAUGGGCUUGAAUGGACUAGAGGUAGGCGGAAUGAGACAAGUAGCGGUG